ACACACACACACACACACACACACACACACACACACACACACACACACACACACACUCUUCACAUACACUGCUGCUACUCUCUGUUUAUUAUCUAUGCAUCGUCACUUUAGCCUAAUCUACAUAUUACCUCUAUUACCCCUUGAUAUUUAUUCGCUACCAUUACCCCUUGUACCCUUGUACAUAGCCUCUUUGUAGUUUUUUGUUGUUGUGUUACUAUUUUCUCCUUAGUUUAUUUACUUUAAAAAAACUCUGCAUUGUUGAUUAAGGGCUUGUAAGUAAGCAUUUCAUGGCAAGGUCUGCAUCUGCUGUAUUCGGCACAUGUGACAAAUAAAAAAAAUAAAAAAAUGUAUAUAUCAACACUAGUGCUACUAGUAACAAUACAAAGUUUAUUCUAGUACACAAGCUCUUUUGAAGUUUCUGUUACGUCUUGGUACGAAGAUAAGGUAUUGGUGGGGGGGAAUACUUAUUCUAUGUUUGUGAUUCCAGAUCUGAAGACAGAGGAUAUCAUUGUGAUCGUCCUGAGUGCCAGUGUUGUGGUGGUGACUGCCAUCGCUCUGAUCUUCUACAGGCAGAACAUGAAGGAACGUCAAAACCAAAAGAGGUGGUCCCACAUCAGCCAAGACCUGAUUGGUCCGCUGGAUGGGAAAGAGUUAAGCCUGGUCUCACUAAAGAUCGAUGAAGACAACAGGAAGGACAGCUGUUACCAGAUUCACAGGGCUCGCUAUGACAAAAAGGUGCCAUUACACUCUUUGGUCCAUAAAAUGACUUAAACACGUG